rnacentral:rRNA from 1 species
GAUGAACGCUAGCGGCAGGCUUAACACAUGCAAGUCGAGGGGCAGCAUCAUGUUUAUGAAGGUCUAUUGUGGCGAGCGGCGCAAGGAUGCGUACCACGUAUGCAACCUACCGUUAACAGGGGGAUAACACGGAGCAAUUGGUACUAAUACUCCAUAAUCUCAUAGAAGGCAUCGUUUAUGGUUGAAGAUUCCGGUGGUUAGAGAGGGGCAUGCGUUGUAUUAGCGAGUUGGGGGGGUAACGGCCCACCAAGGCGACGAUACAUAGGGGGACGGAGAGGUUACCCCCCGAGACUGGUACCGAGCUACGGACCAGACGCCUACGGGAGGCAGCAGUGAGGAAGAUUGGGCAAUGGACGCAAGUCUGAACCAGCCAUGCCGCGUGCAGGAUGACGGCGCUAUGAGUGGUAAACUGCUGUUGUACGAGGGCAAACGCAGAUACGUGUAUCUGGUUGAAAGUAUCGUAAGAAUAAGGAUCGGCUAACUACGUG